CAGGGAUACUGGAGUGAUGGAGGUAGAUAUGUAUAGGAGACAGGGAUACUGGAGUGAUGGAGGUAGAUAUGUAGAGGGGACAGGGAUACUGGAGUGAUGGAGGUAGAUAUGUAUAGGGGGAAGGAGACAGGGAUACUGGAGUGAUGGAGGUAGAUAUGUAUAGGAGACAGGGAUACUGGGGUGAUGGAGGUAGAUAUGUAUAGGGGGAAGGAGACUAGGAAUCACGAUCAAAGAUAAACAGAGUAGCAGUGUGUGUGUGUAUAGAGUGUCAGUAUAAAUGUUUGUGCUUAUUAUUUGUGAGUGACAAAAUGGAGUGUGUGUGUGUUGCAGUCUGUGUUUUGUAGUGUGUGUGCGUCUGUGUGUUGUAGUGUGUGUGUGUGU
ensembl:lncRNA